UAACAAGGUUUCUGUAGGUGAACCUGCAGAAGGAUCAUUAGUGAAGAUUUGGGCAGGCCAUACGGACGCCACAAAGUGUCCCUGGCCGCCUACACCCACUAUACAUCCACAAACCCGUGUGCACUGUCCUUGGAAAGGGCAUUUGGAGAGAAAAAGGAAGAGAGAAGCGAGAACAGUGCGAUCCGUCGCGUUGGGCGUUGAUCUCUGGCUUGGUCUCUCUGAGGCCCUUUCCUCGCUACAAACUCGAAUGGUUAGUAUGAACGUGGAACUUGGUUGGACCGUCACUGGCCAACAAACUAUACACAACUUUCGACAACGGAUCUCUUGGUUCUCCCAUCGAUGAAGAACGCAGCGAA
rnacentral:misc_RNA from 1 species